rnacentral:tmRNA from 1 species
GGGGACGCGUGGCUUCGACAAAGGAGGUUGGCUACAGAAUCGCAAGCCGAGGACGCCAUUGACCUCGUAAAACCAGUGGCAAAAAAUAAACGAGAAACCUGAACUGGUUCUUGCCGCCUAACUAAACAGGCGGCACAUUCACCCCGACCCCACCUCAACGGGUUGGGAGUGGGUGCAGAAAAGUUGAGGUGCUACAGCCUCCAUGCCGGUAAGGGCUGCCACAGAAAAACCGGCUGGUCUGACCGAGACUCCGGCCUCGAGAGGUCGGCCAGACGAGAGCAAAUCGAGACUAAGCUUGUAGCAUAUUCUGGGCGGUCUCUUUUGGACGGGGAGUUCAACUCUCCCCCGUCUCCACCA